rnacentral:rRNA from 1 species
GUGGGGAAUAUUGGACAAUGGGCGAAAGCCUGAUCCAGCCAUGCCGCGUGUGUGAAGAAGGUCUUCGGAUUGUAAAGCACUUUAAGUUGGGAGGAAGGGUAGUAACCUAAUACGUUGCUACUUUGACGUUACCGACAGAAUAAGCACCGGCUAACUUCGUGCCAGCAGCCGCGGUAAUACGAAGGGUGCAAGCGUUAAUCGGAAUUACUGGGCGUAAAGCGCGCGUAGGUGGUUCAGUAAGUUGGAAGUGAAAUCCCCGGGCUCAACCUGGGAACUGCUUUCAAAACUGCUGAGCUAGAGUACGGUAGAGGGUGGUGAAUUUCCGGUGUAGCGGUGAAAUGCGUAGAUAUAGGAAGGAACACCAGUGGCGAAGGCGACCACCUGGACUGAUACUGACACUGAGGUGCGAAAGCGUGGGGAGCAAACAGGAUUAGAAACCCUGGUAGUCC